rnacentral:tRNA from 2 species
UUACUUUGGCAGAUUAGUGUAUUUGAUUUAGAAUCAUUUUAAGUAAAAAUUUUACAGGUAAUAN